GAUGAACGCUAGCGGCAGGCUUAACACAUGCAAGUCGAGGGGUAUUUCUCUUCGGAUAGCGAGACCGGCGCACGGGUGCGUAACGCGUAUGCAAUCUACCUUUUACAGAGGGAUAGCCCAGAGAAAUUUGGAUUAAUACCUCAUAGUAUAUAGACUCGGCAUCGAGAUUAUAUUAAAGUCACAACGGUAAAAGAUGAGCAUGCGUCCCAUUAGCUAGUUGGUAAGGUAACGGCUUACCAAGGCUACGAUGGGUAGGGGUCCUGAGAGGGAGAUCCCCCACACUGGUACUGAGACACGGACCAGACUCCUACGGGAGGCAGCAGUGAGGAAUAUUGGACAAUGGGCGCAAGCCUGAUCCAGCCAUGCCGCGUGCAGGAUGACGGUCCUAUGGAUUGUAAACUGCUUUUAUACGAGAAGAAACACUGCUACGUGUAGCAGCUUGACGGUAUCGUAAGAAUAAGGAUCGGCUAACUCCGUG
rnacentral:rRNA from 1 species